rnacentral:rRNA from 1 species
AGUAAAAGUCGUAACAAGGUCUCCGUAGGUGAACCUGCGGAGGGAUCAUUACAAGUGACCCCGGUCUAACCACCGGGAUGUUCAUAACCCUUUGUUGUCCGACUCUGUUGCCUCCGGGGCGACCCUGCCUUCGGGCGGGGGCUCCGGGUGGACACUUCAAACUCUUGCGUAACUUUGCAGUCUGAGUAAACUUAAUUAAUAAAUUAAAACUUUUAACAACGGAUCUCUUGGUUCCGGCAUCGAUGAAGAACGCAGCGAAAUGCGAUAAGUAAUGUGAAUUGCAGAAUUCAGUGAAUCAUCGAAUCUUUGAACGCACAUUGCGCCCCCUGGUAUUCCGGGGGGCAUGCCUGUUCGAGCGUCAUUUCACCACUCAAGCCUCGCUUGGUAUUGGGCAACGCGGUCCGCCGCGUGCCUCAAAUCGACCGGCUGGGUCUUCUGUCCCCUAAGCGUUGUGGAAACUAUUCGCUAAAGGGUGUUCGGGAGGCUACGCCGUAAAACAACCCCAUUUCUAAGGUUGACCUCGGAUCAGGUAGGGAUACCCGCUGAACUUAAGCAUAUCAAUAAGCGGAGGA